rnacentral:lncRNA from 1 species
GGUAAGGGACUUUAUCUAUAUGUAGGGUGGAACUACACUUUGGACUGGAGCUGGAUUUCUGUUUAUUAUAGAAGCUCUAAAGUCCUUCAGCCUGGACAAUUCUUCUGCUGCCACCAAAGCCCUACAUCUCUCCUAUAGAAAGUCUACUUUCUACAGUAUAUACUCAUUGGUGCUCCAGCUGGGGACAUGUGGGAUGUGCCUGCUUCCCUUUCUCCUUCCACCAUGAUUGUAAGUUUCCUGCGGCCUCCCCGGCCAUGCUUCCUGUACAGCCUGCAGAACUGCACUGUAGCAGAGCUAUAAACCAGAUGAGCAAAAUCGAUUCCUCGUGGAGCUCAGGGUCUAGUAAGCAAGUAACAAAUAAAUAAUAUCAUGGUAAGUAGUGGUAGUGGUCAUUGUGAUAGAGAAAAAUAGCAGAGCAAGGGGAUAAGGAGGGAUGGGGGCUGGUAAGGAGAUGAUACUUGAGCACAGAAGGAAGGAACGAUGAGUGUCCCAGGAGAAGAAAAGCGAGGACAAACCCCUGAGAGGAG